rnacentral:rRNA from 1 species
UACAGAGGGUGCGAGCGUUAAUCGGAAUUACUGGGCGUAAAGCGUGCGUAGACGGUUUCGUAAGUCGGGUGUGAAAUCCCCGGGCUCAACCUGGGAAUUGCAUUCGAAACUGCGAGGCUAGGGUACGGAAGAGGGAAGCGGAAUUUCUGGUGUAGCGGUGAAAUACGUAGAUAUCAGAAGGAACAUCAGUGGCGAAAGCGGCUUCCUGGUCCAGUACCGACGUUCAGGCACGAAAGCGUGGGGAGCAAACAGG